rnacentral:misc_RNA from 1 species
AAUUCUCAACCUCACCCGUUUUGGUUUUGUAACGAGACAGGUGAAGGCUUGGAUGUGGGGGUUUUGCAGGCUGCCUCAGUGCUGGUCUGCUCCCCUGAAAUGCAUUAGCAAGCUCAUAUGAGCUUCCGUCUAUUGGUGUGAUAAUUAUCUACGCCGUGGAUUGGACUCAUGCUUGCUUCUAACCGUCCGCAAGGACAAUUUACUUGACCA